GUCACUUCUUGGCCUUUGACUAAGAUCAGUUGUAGUAUCUGUUCUUAUCAGUUUAAUAUCUAAUAUGUCCUCUAUCUGAGGACAAUAUGUUAAGUGAAUUUUUGGAUCAGGGAGUUGAAAUAGGAGUUUUCUUCAUCCACUCCACUCAUUGACCUGUUAUUGCAGGAACAGCACACACACUGCUCAUCUA